rnacentral:pre_miRNA from 1 species
GAUUUCAAUUGAAAAGGUCAUCAACAACAAAGUUGAAUAACUCAUCAAGAUCUAUUUCUUCAUCCGACGAAAUGUUAGUAAUAUUAUUCACAAAUUUUACAUAUAUGUGUUAUAGUUUAUAAAACCAGAUAAGAGAUAUGUCAAUUUUAUGAACAAUGUUACUAUCACUUUAUCGUAUGAAGAAAUGACCAAAAUAAAAGUUUUAGAUAUUGAUGAGUUAUUCAACUUUGUUGUUGAUGACUUUUUCAGUUGAUAUC